rnacentral:rRNA from 1 species
UGGGGAAUAUUGCACAAUGGGCGCAAGCCUGAUGCAGCAACGCCGCGUGAGGGAUGACGGCAUUCGGGUUGUAAACCUCUUUUAGCAGGGAAGAAGCGAAAGUGACGGUACCUGCAGAAAAAGCGCCGGCUAACUACGUGCCAGCAGCCGCGGUAAUACGUAGGGCGCAAGCGUUAUCCGGAAUUAUUGGGCGUAAAGAGCUCGUAGGCGGUUUGUCGCGUCUGCUGUGAAAUCCCGAGGCUCAACCUCGGGUCUGCAGUGGGUACGGGCAGACUAGAGUGCGGUAGGGGAGAUUGGAAUUCCUGGUGUAGCGGUGGAAUGCGCAGAUAUCAGGAGGAACACCGAUGGCGAAGGCAGAUCUCUGGGCCGUAACUGACGCUGAGGAGCGAAAGGGUGGGGAGCAAACAGGCUUAGAUACCCUGGUAGUCCACCCCGUAAACGUUGGGAACUAGUUGUGGGGUCCAUUCCACGGAUUCCGUGACGCAGCUAACGCAUUAAGUUCCCCGCCUGGGGAGUACGGCCGCAAGG